UACGGAGGGGGCUAGCGUUGUUCGGAAUUACUGGGCGUAAAGCGCGCGUAGGCGGCUUAGCAAGUUAGAGGUGAAAGCCCGAAGCCCAACUUCGGAAUUGCCUUUAAAACUGCAAAGCUAGAAUCAUGGAGAGGUGAGUGGAAUUCCGAGUGUAGAGGUGAAAUUCGUAGAUAUUCGGAAGAACACCAGUGGCGAAGGCGACUCACUGGACAUGUAUUGACGCUGAGGUGCGAAAGCGUGGGGAGCAAACAGG
rnacentral:rRNA from 1 species